GAGUUUGAUCCUGGCUCAGAUUGAACGCUGGCGGCAUGCCUAACACAUGCAAGUCGAACGAGGGUAGCAAUACUCUAGUGGCGGACGGGUGAGGAAUACGUAGGAAUCUGCCCUUAAGUGGGGGAUAACCCGGGGAAACCCGGAUUAAUACCGCAUGAUCUCGAAAGAGCAAAGCAGGGGAUCGCAAGACCUUGCGCUUUUGGAGGAGCCUACGUCGGAUUAGCUAGUUGGUGAGGUAAAGGCUCACCAAGGCGACGAUCCGUAACUGGUCUGAGAGGAUGAUCAGUCACACCGGAACUGAGACACGGUCCGGACUCCUACGGGAGGCAGCAGUGGGGAAUAUUGGACAAUGGGCGAAAGCCUGAUCCAGCAAUGCCGCGUGUGUGAAGAAGGCCUUCGGGUUGUAAAGCACUUUAAGUUGGGAAGAAAAAACUUCGUUUAAUACAUGAAGUCUUGACGGUGCCGACAGAAUAAGCACCGGCUAACUCUGUGCCAGCAGCCGCGGUAAUACAGAGGGUGCUAGCGUUAAUCGGAUUUACUGGGCGUAAAGCGUGCGUAGGCGGUUUGAUAAGUCGAUUGUGAAAGCCCCGGGCUCAACCUGGGAAUUGCAGUCGAUACUGUCAGACUAGAAAACGGUAGAGGGAGGCGGGACUCCAGGUGUAGCGGUGAAAUGCGUAGAUAUCUGGAAGAACACCGAUGGCGAAGGCAACCUCCUGGGCCUGUUUUGACGCUGAGGCACGAAAGCGUGGGUAGCAAACAGGAUUAGAUACCCUGGUAGUCCACGCCGUAAACGAUGAGAACUUGACGUUGGUUUGCUUAGCAAAUCGGUGUCGUAGCUAACGCGAUAAGUUCUCCGCCUGGGGAGUACGGCCGCAAGGUUGAAACUCAAAGGGAUUGACGGGGGCCCGCACAAGCGGUGGAGUAUGUGGUUUAAUUCGAUGCAACGCGAAGAACCUUACCUGGUCUUGACAUGUCGAGAAGUCUGCAGAGAUGCGGAUGUGCCUUCGGGAACUCGAACACAGGUGCUGCAUGGCUGUCGUCAGCUCGUGUCGUGAGAUGUUGGGUUAAGUCCCGCAACGAGCGCAACCCUUGCCCUUAGUUGCCAUCAUUUAGUUGGGCACUCUAAGGGGACCGCCGGUGACAAACCGGAGGAAGGUGGGGAUGACGUCAAGUCAUCAUGGCCCUUAUGACCAGGGCUACACACGUACUACAAUGGUCGGUACAGAGGGUUGCCAACCCGCGAGGGGGAGCUAAUCCCAAAAAGCCGAUCGUAGUCCGGAUUGGAGUCUGCAACUCGACUACAUGAAGUCGGAAUCGCUAGUAAUCGCGGAUCAGCAUGUCGCGGUGAAUACGUUCCCGGGUCUUGUACACACCGCCCGUCACACCAUGGGAGUGGAAUCUGGCAGAAGUAGGUAGCCUAACCGCAAGGAGGGCGCUUACCACGCUGGGUUUCAUGACUGGGGUGAAGUCGUAACAAGGUAACCGUA
rnacentral:rRNA from 1 species